rnacentral:rRNA from 1 species
GACAGAGGUGCCAAGCGUUAGGCGGAAUCACUGGGCUUAAAGCGUGUGUAGGCGGGUCGUUAAGUGUCUUGUGAAAUCCCCCGGCUCAACCGGGGAAUGGCUGGGCAUACUGGCGAUCUUGAGCAGUCUAGGGGCAGAUGGAACAGACGGUGGAGCGGUGAAAUGCGUAGAUAUCGUCUGGAACGCCAAAGGUGAAAAACAGUCUGCUGGGGACUUGCUGACGCUGAGACACGAAAGCCAGGGGGAGCGAACGGGG